AUCGUACCAAAGAAUAGGGUGAGGGAUCCUUACCCGGAUCGGUGUUUCGAGAUGUCGAGCUAUCUACUACGCCUCUUAACAGGUACCGAGUUCUUUAAAAUUUUCCUAUGGAAUUCAAAACACUUAUCACACACCUUAAAGUACCCCAAAAAUCCAAAAUCAGUGUCCAAAACUCAUUUCGACCAAUUUUGGUGUUCCAGCUUGACGACACCGCUAGCU
rnacentral:lncRNA from 1 species